AUCAAUUAUCUUUUGCUUACAUAUUGAGAGUUUAUGUAAUCAAAUGUUAGAUUACAACUUAAUAAAGCUUUUGACUAAUCUCAUGUUGAAGGUUUUGAAAUUUACUUACAAGUUAUUUUAUAUCUCCUUAUUUUCUUUCAGGGUUCACAUAGCUUAUCUUAGUAACAGUACCAGAAGCUUAUUGAAUGAAGGCUGUAUAUUAAUAAAAUAUAUAUUAAUAAAAAAUGGAAACGGUUACAUAAUGCUGAAAUAUUUAUUUAUUUAAAAAUUACAGCAUCGAAUAUUGCUGGAUGAUAGCUCACACUUCAUGUAAUUUAUCUUACUUCAUAUUGCUGCAAAGUCGUUAAGGCGCACUGUCAAAUAACACAAUAUUUUCAUACACGAGAUGCACUCGAGGAUAGGGAAAACACAGUCGAAAUUACUAGCAACAUCAAAAAACAAACUCCAAUGUACACAUACAUAUCUAUGUAUGGAGGUGUCCAAUAGAUAAACAUACAUAUAAUUGCCGCGUUCUUUGCCGGUCAUCAUCAUUAUGUUUUGCUAUGGCUCUCUGUUCCAUAGCCACUAAUGACGUCGACAGCGACGACGACUGUGACGAUAGCUAAGGCGACAGCGGCACGAUGGAAGCGCCAAAAAGCAAACAUGUCAAACUAUACGUUUGCAGGUGCGUGUGUUUGUGCAGGCAAAAAAGCUGAGAGGAAAAGGCAAAUACUGGAACGAAAUUGUCAUUAGCACAACGAAUAUGUAGCAGAAUUCAUAAAAUGACUCUGGCUUAGCGGCGUCUAUGGUGGUAAUUAUGGUUAAAACGAGCAACUGCACAACUGUGUUACGAUAAGAUAUUAUGAUGUACUCAAAUCUAUAUUUGAAUAUUAUAUGUAAUUGUUCGUGGAGUUGCUGGCACGCUGUUUGCGCGCCAAUACAUUCGUAAAUGGGCUAACAAACAGGGGAUAAUGGGGUUUAAGUCCUCAAAUCAAUGGAACUCACUAAUUUGUUAAGAAAUAUAACAAAAUAAUAAUAUCUCUAUCACUGAUUCCUUAGUGGAAUACCGAUCUGGUUCCGAUGUUAUUUGUUCCAAAGUGA